GACGAACGCUGGCGGCGUGCUUAACACAUGCAAGUCGAACGGCAAGGCCCUGCUUUUGUGGGGUGCUCGAGUGGCGAACGGGUGAGUAACACGUGAGUAACCUGCCCUUGACUUUGGGAUAACUUCAGGAAACUGGGGCUAAUACCGGAUAGGAGCUCCUGCUGCAUGGUGGGGGUUGGAAAGUUUCGGCGGUUGGGGAUGGACUCGCGGCUUAUCAGCUUGUUGGUGGGGUAGUGGCUUACCAAGGCUUUGACGGGUAGCCGGCCUGAGAGGGUGACCGGCCACAUUGGGACUGAGAUACGGCCCAGACGCCUACGGGAGGCAGCAGUGGGGAAUAUUGCACAAUGGGCGGAAGCCUGAUGCAGCAACGCCGCGUGCGGGAUGACGGCCUUCGGGUUGUAAACCGCUUUCGCCUGUGACGAAGCGUGAGUGACGGUAAUGGGUAAAGAAGCACCGGCUAACUACGUG
rnacentral:rRNA from 1 species